rnacentral:ncRNA from 2 species
UACAUCUCACGUGACUGGCGAAAACCGUGCGCUGCCGCCCGAUCAGGAAAGCGAUCGGCCUGCCGGUGCGUGGCGAAGGUGGGCACCCACCGGGGAACGUGAGAUUUCAAACUUGCCGUUCGCCUGGGCAGCCACC